GUUUGAGUAGUUUAAUAAAAACGUUGGUUUGUGGUACCAGAAAUAUGAUGAAAAUUCAUUUUAAAUC
rnacentral:tRNA from 1 species